UUCCGGGGACAUGGAAAUUCGAUAAAAUUGAAACGAUACAAAAAAGAUUAGCAUGUUCCAUGCACAAUAAUGAAGCACAAAUCAAGAACUUUUUGGAAUAUGA